rnacentral:rRNA from 1 species
GGUCAGGACGAACGCUGGCGGCGUGCCUAAUACAUGCAAGUCGAACGGUCUUUCUAUGGAAGCUUGCUUCCACUGAGAAGAUAGUGGCGAACGGGUGAGUAACACGUGGGUAACCUGCCCAUAAGAGGGGGGAUAACAUCCGGAAACGGGUGCUAAUACCGCAUAGUUUUCUUGAUCGCAUGAUCGGGAAAGGAAAGACGGCCUUUGUGCUGUCGCUUAUGGAUGGACCCGCGGCGUAUUAGUUAGUUGGUGAGGUAACGGCUCACCAAGACGAUGAUACGUAGCCGACCUGAGAGGGUGAUCGGCCACAUUGGGACUGAGACACGGCCCAAACUCCUACGGGAGGCAGCAGUAGGGAAUCUUCCGCAAUGGACGAAAGUCUGACGGAGCAACGCCGCGUGAGUGAAAGAAGGUUUUCGGAUCGUAAAACUCUGUUGUCAGAGAAGAACAAGUUGGAGAGUAACUGCUCCAGCCUUGACGGUAUCUGACCAGAAAGCCACGGCUAACUACGUGCCAGCCGCCGC